CGCGGGAUGGAGCAGUUGGUAGCUCGUCGGGCUCAUAACCCGAAGGUCGCAGGUUCAAGUCCUACUCCCGCAACCA
rnacentral:tRNA from 1 species